rnacentral:lncRNA from 1 species
CUGGUGAAUGAAGCUGCCUGCAAUCCCCGCCCUGCAGAACGUCCACUGCACUCCGCAUCCUUUAGUGCCAGACGCACGCGACGGAUUUUCCUGCACCCGGCCGUGUCUCGCACAGAUGACGUUCAGCACCUGUCUGUCGUCCAGCAGCUGAUCGUGUCUUCACUUCUGUUCCUGCCUCACUGCUGUUGUGUCCUGGUGAAUGAAGCUGCCUGCAAUCCCCGCCCUGCAGAACGUCCACUGCACUCCGCAUCCUUUAGUGCCAGACGCACGCGACGGAUUUUCCUGCACCCGGCCGUGUCUCGCACAGAUGACGUUCAGCACCUGUCUCUGGUCCAUCAGCUGAUCGUGUCUUCACUUCUG